CCAUCAUCCUGGGUGGACGCGGCGGUGGCCGGAUCGCCGCGGGACAGCAUAUCGUGUACCCGCCCAACAGCCCGCUGUCGAAUCUGUAUGUUGCGAUGCUCGAUGCUUUCGGAGCGCCCGUGGAACGCUUCGCCGACAGCACCGGGCCGGCGCGCGGCACGCUCGUAGCCGCCUAGUUCUGGGCGCGUCCUGCUACUCCGGCAUAUGUAUCUGCAUCUAAGCGUCUUAAGUCGAAUUCUCGAUUGACCCAAUUCCGCCUAACACCCACAAUUGGCUCAUGUGGAAGUCUGCCGCGCUCGUCGGGAUAUUGUGUUUGCCCCUCUGCGCGGCUCCGGGCCCAGUUAACUAUGACAUCGUGUACGUUCGUGCGCCUCGCGCGGGCGACAACACCUAUCCGAUUCCCGGACGUUUUCUUUCCCACAGCAAUGCCCUCGGGGUCGGACCUGGUGCUCCUCCACCCUGAUGGAUCAGAGGAAAUUCUGUUCGCCGCGGGUAAGGGCGCGGUCCUUGAUCCCGCCGUGUCUUUCGAUGCGAAAUGGAUCUUCUUCUCGUACAUUCCCGAUGCGUCGAGCAGUGGAAUCAACCCACAGCGUGGCCUGGCGACCGGGGGCGCCGAUAUCUACAAGAUCAAUGUCGCCACGCGACAGUUAGUGCGAAUCACGCAGCAAGUCUGGACACCACCCACAGGGUCUGCCAAAUGGUCCACCGAUCCGUUACACGCGAGCGGGCCGAAUACCGUCUACCUCGGCUACGGUCUCUUCAAUCUCGGCGCGUGUCCUCUCCCUGGCGGAAGAGUGAUGUUCGUAUCGAGCCGUGACAUGGCUACCUUCCGAACAAGGGAUACACCACGCCGAAUCUCCGCCUGUACAUCAUGGAUGAAGACGGCCGCAACGUGGAGCCCGUCGGACACCUGAAUAUCGGCAGCGCCUUGCAUCCCACUGUGUUGAUGGACGGGCGUGUCAUGUUCGCCAGUUUUGAGAGUCAAGGUGUGCGGGAUCAGCGAAAUUGGGGCCUGUGGGCGAUUUGGCCCGAUGGCCGGCGCUGGGAACCAUUGAUGAGCGCGAUGGUAGAAGCGGGGGCUUUUCACUUCCAGUCGCAGCUCUCCGACGGCCGCAUCGUGGUAACCGACUACUACAACUUGAAUGACAACGGUUUUGGGACGAUCCUCGCCUUCGACUCACACGCGCAGCCGGGAACCAUUCCGUUCGGAUCUCCCAAGGCCAGCGACGCUUCAAAUCCUUCCAUUAGAGUUGGACUGUGGGGACCGGGAGUUGCGACCACCGGCCAGCCGAGAUACA
rnacentral:misc_RNA from 1 species